rnacentral:lncRNA from 1 species
UUCUAUCGCACUGAAUGUAUAUAUAGUUGUCCUGCAUCAUGCUCAUCGUCAGCCUCAAUAUAAUCGUCAAAGUGAAUAGUUAAAAUCAAGCUUGAUAGACAGACAUGAAGUUAUUCGGAAUCAUAGUCCUUGUUGCUCUAUUGAUGGUGGCAUCAAUUACAAUGCCAGUUGGUAAGUAGAAUGAUAACAGUAACAAUGAUUAAAUCAUGUGCCUCAAAUUGUCUCUAUUUGUAUUGCUAUUUCAAUAUUUUUGUUGUUGCAAAUAAAAAAAACCCUAUUUUUUAAGUAUGUCCUUAAACUAACAAAGUAAGUACAAAUUUGCGAUUAGAUAUAUAAUAUUGACGGUCAAAUGAAUUAAGAACAUAUCAGAAUAAACAUAUAAAUGCAAAAAUACUACAACAGUAAUGUAUUAUUAGGGCAACUGUUAGAUUUAUAUACGUACUUAAGUCCCUUUUCAAUGGUUUUAACGAAUUGGUAUUUGAACUCUUUUUUUUCAAGACUUUAUUUUUUGCUUAAUUGCUUAAUUUGCUUAGUCUUUAUAUUCUCUAUGUUGCGUUUUGUGAACUGUUGUUUGUAUUUUCGGGUUUUCGGUUUCUUUUGCAAUGGCAGUAUCAGUUGGUUUUCGACUAAUGAAUUUGAAUUUCCCUUUGGUAUUUUUCGUUGCAAAAUUUAUAUAUAUAUAUAAAAUAACCAAACUUAUCCAAUCACCACAAUUCAAUUUUUAAUAUGAUACAUCCGUAGAAGUUUAUUUUCCGCAUUUAAAAACUAAUUCCAAAGUUAUACACAGAAAACACAACGAAUCGCUUCUGAUUGUAGACCCAAUAUAUUCAUUGAUAAAAAAAUCUAAUAAUUUCAGCUGCCUCUGGAAGAUAUAGGAAGAGUCAUAGAGGGUAUAAAGGAAGCCAUUCUAGUGGAGGACAUUCUGGCGGAGGGGUAAGUGGAAAAUUUUAGAAUUUAUUAUUUGAUUGAUAAGGAAAACUGUUUUUCAAUGUAUUGAAUAUUCCUGCUCUUAUAUUCUGUAAACAUAUAUCAGUUUUUUUUUUUUUUUUAAGACUUGAAAUACCUUUAUUGAAAAUCACCUGAAUACAAUUUUCCUUGUGUAACCCGGGAAGAAUACACAAGGGGCCCUGUGUUUACAAUGAUCCAACGUCCAGGGAUAAACGGUGGACUCUUAUAAAAAAAAAUCUAUUUUAUAUUUUUUCCAUACAUAAGUUAUACAUUCAUAUUAAUUACACAGAUUGAGUUUGCGUAUAAAUUAUUCACAAUAUUCUACCAGUAAAUAAAAUGCAUCAAAAGUCCCCCAAAACACACUAUAAUCUACACAAUAAUUUACCUUUACUUAUAUAAUUGACAUUUUAUUUUUUGUACUUUUAACACCUGGAUUACAUUGUUAUGUGUCGGUCAGUGAUUUUAUAGGUCCAUGCUCGACCUGUAAAUGCGUGUAUUGUAUUUUCUAUAGUGGAUGUAUUAUUAUGUUCUAAAAAGAAAAGGAAAGUAAGUACAAAUUAUACGUCACUUACUAAUUAUAAAUUUAUUAUAAGUUUAUUUCAGCUGCAAAAUUUUUCAUUUUUAGAUAUAAUGAUUUGUCAUAGAUUCAAUAAACUGCUCAGUUCCCGUUUUGCAUAUGCUAUCAAUUGACUGGAAGUAAAAACUUUUAGACUGAUAUUGAUUAUAUUCCUACAUUUCCAAAUAAUCCAUUUAACUGUAUUCAUAAUCGUAUUAGUUAUGACAUUGUACUUUUUGUUGUAAUCGUACAUUCCUAGUAUGAUAAGUUCUUCGCUCAAUGGAAUAUAUACAGUGUUAUUAAGUACAUUAUAUGUUUUAAGCGCAUCAAAAAUGUGUUCCCCAAACAACCAUUUUAAUGUUAGCUGUGAAAAAGGUGGUGAGAGUUUCGUUUUCAGUUUUACAAAAUGGCAUUUGCCAUUAUUUGAUUUGCCGAUUCUAAAUAGUUUUUUGCUCCGUAUAGAUAAUGUUAUGAACAAUUUUCCAGCUAAUUUGAUUUGCUUUCCUAGAGGACAUACUUUUAUUUAAAUUUAUCCAGAUCUUUUUCCACGGUAAUUCCGAAUUAUACUGAAUAUUCCAUUUUAUUUGACAGUUUGGAACUAUAUCUAAAUUUAACGAAUAUUGGAUUAAUUUCAAAGAUAUCUCACUUGGGUUACUACUUUAUCUGUUAUCGUAAAAUUCAAAUGUAUUUUUAAUGUAAUAACCAUUUUUGGGGGGUUCUGGAUCAACGUGGACGUUUUUGAGUCUGUCCUUGAACAAUUUUGGAAUAGCUAAUUUCAGCCUUGUCCAUUCCGAGAUCCAGUUUCUCUUAUCUUUAAGAGUAUUGUAUAUAAAGUUUAAACAUAUAUCAUUGUUGUCAGUGACUGGUUGAUAAAGAUUAUUUUGAUAACAUAUCAUGUGAUAUCUUUAUUCUAUAAGAUAUGAAAAGGGUUAAAAUUGGUCAAUUAGCAUUUUGCUUACUUGGUAAUAUGUGCAUUUCAAUACCAUGAAUGAUACCCGUGACUUUGAAGACCGCCAAGUGACAUAAAACCAGCAAACAUAUUAUAUGCCACAUGGUAAUCAUGGAAUAUUGCUUUUUUUCUAAGAAUUUUCAUUUCUGUAGUUAUUCACAAUAACUUUUAGAUUGAUAGCAUAUUCUGUUCUGACAUAUUACAUACUGGAUUUUUUUUUAUACGACCAACAAAUAUUGAACCAAACUUUGCCGGUUUUGGCAUAGUUUAUGUGGUAUUCAAUUUGCGGAAUGAAAUCAAUAGAAAGACUGAGCUUAAACGUAACAUAUUAGUCAAUACACAAAGAUAUCACAAAAAUGUUUUUUUUUUAAAUAAUGGAAAAGCGUUUUGUUUCUGACUUAUGCAGCGGUUAUGUCAUAAAAUGCGUGGUAAAGGAAACUUGAAUUCCCGCUUCAAAAUGUAAACACGUAAAAUAUCAAGAGCAUAAUAAUGCAAUGGACGUUAAUUAGAAAAUGUAAUACAUAAAUAUCGAUUUCCAAGAUAAAUUCAAAAAGGUGGAAAUCCAUAAAACUGACAAAAUCAAACACUAGACCUUAUCAAUUAGCAGACCCAAUAGAAGACAACUGUUAUUUUCAUGAUUCAGUACAGGCAUUUUCCGGAGAAAAUAGUGGGUUAAACUUGGUUUUAUAGCUAGCGAAACAUCCCACUUAUAUUCCAGUUGUUUAUAGUAAUUAUAACAAAAUCCGAUAAGCAAUAAACACAGACAUCAUUGGUUAAAAUUAAAAUAAUUGGGAUCCCGAGUCAAAAAUGUCUAACGUACAUGAUAUAUCACAAAAAAAUAACACACGUGACUAAAAUAUAUACCCUUAUAUUUUACAGCACAGUGGACAUGGUGGUAAAUAUCACGGCUAUCCUAGAACUGGAGGAAGCUACCGGUAUAGAGGGUGAAACUUGGUUAACAGG